rnacentral:piRNA from 1 species
UAAGCAGACUUGACAGGAUCACUAGGG